GGAAUCUUGCACAAUGGAGGAAACUCUGAUGCAGCGAUGCCGCGUGAGUGAAGAAGGCCUUUGGGUUGUAAAGCUCUUUUGUAGGGGAAGAUAAUGACUGUACCCUAAGAAUAAGGUCCGGCUAACUUCGUGCCAGCAGCCGCGGUAAUACGAAGGGACCUAGCGUAGUUCGGAAUUACUGGGCGUAAAGCGCGCGUAGGCCGUUGAGUUAGUUAAUUGUGAAAUCCCAAAGCUUAACUUUGGAACUGCAAUUAAAACUGCUCGACUAGAGUUUGAUAGAGGAAAGCGGAAUACAUAGUGUAGAGGUGAAAUUCGUAGAUAUUAUGUAGAACACCAGUUGCGAAGGCGGCUUUCUGGAUCAACACUGACGCUGAGGCGCGAAAGUAUGGGUAGCAAAGAGGAUUAGAUACCCUCGUAGUCCAUACCAUAAACGAUGAUUGCUAGAUGUUGGAAAUUUAUUUUCAGUAUCGCAGCUAACGCAUUAAGCAAUCUGCCUGGGGAGUACGACCGCAAGGUUAAAACUCAAAUGAAUUGACGG
rnacentral:rRNA from 1 species